rnacentral:rRNA from 1 species
AAUGCCGGAUGUUCCACAUGAUCGCAUGUGAUUGUGGGAAAGAUUUCAUCGGCGUGGGAUGGGGUCGCGUCCUAUCAGCUUGUUGGUGAGGUAACGGCUCACCAAGGCUUCGACGGGUAGCCGGCCUGAGAGGGCGACCGGCCACAUUGGGACUGAGAUACGGCCCAGACUCCUACGGGAGGCAGCAGUGGGGAAUAUUGCACAAUGGGCGCAAGCCUGAUGCAGCGACGCCGCGUGAGGGAUGGAGGCCUUCGGGUUGUAAACCUCUUUUGUUUGGGAGCAAGCCUUCGGGUGAGUGUACCUUUCGAAUAAGCGCCGGCUAACUACGUGCCAGCAGCCGCGGUAAUACGUAGGGCGCAAGCGUUAUCCGGAUUUAUUGGGCGUAAAGGGCUCGUAGGCGGCUCGUCGCGUCCGGUGUGAAAGUCCAUCGCUUAACGGUGGAUCUGCGCCGGGUACGGGCGGGCUGGAGUGCGGUAGGGGAGACUGGAAUUCCCGGUGUAACGGUGGAAUGUGUAGAUAUCGGAAA